rfam:Canis lupus familiaris chromosome 24, whole genome shotgun sequence.
GCCUGGCUGGCUCAGUGGGUGGAGCCUGGGACUCUUGAUCUCAGGGUUGUGGGUUUGAGCCCCACGUUGGAUG